rnacentral:rRNA from 1 species
GACGAACGCUGGCGGCGUGCUUAACACAUGCAAGUCGAACGGAAAGGCCCUGCUUUUGUGGUGUGCUCGAGUGGCGAACGGGUGAGUAACACGUGAGUAACCUGCCCUUGACUUUGGGAUAACUUCAGGAAACUGGGGCUAAUACCGUAUAGGAGCUCCUGCUGCAUGGUGGGGGUUGGAAAUUUUCGGCGGUUGGGGAUGGACUCGCGGCUUAUCAGCUUGUUGGUGGGGUAGUGGCUUACCAAGGCUGUGACGGAUAGCCGGCCUGAGAGGGUGACCGGCCACAUUGGGACUGAGAUACGGCCCAGACUCCUACGGGAGGCAGCAGGGGGGAAUAUUGCACAAUGGGCGGACGCCGGAUGCAGCAACGCCGCGUGCGGGAUGACGGCCUUCGGGUUGUAAACCGCUUUCGCCUGUGACGAAGCGUGAGUGACGGUAAUGGGUAAAGAAGCACCGGCUAACUACGUG